UAACUUUCCUACUCCUUCGAGUACGAGAUUCCUUCGAGAAAUAAUUAAUAUUGCUACGGUCAUUUUUUAGUCAAAUAUUUAGACGACACAUAAUAAUAAUAAACUUUACAAGUGUUACCAUUACUUAUCCGCUACUGCAAAAGAAAUAAAUUUCACAAAAACAGAUAAUUUGCGUCGACACAUAAGGGCGAAGCACUUAUUUUUCUUUACUAGAUCUCAAGAGCAUACGUAUAGGCGAAAAACAAUAUAUUUGCAAGUAUUAUAGAUGGCCAUCGAUGGCUUUCGAUUAACAAUAUCUCUGUAUCCAUUGCUAGGAGGAAGAAUGGGGAUAUGCGUUCCAUCAAUUGCUCCAAUUAAUUGGGGAAUAUAUAAUUAACUCAAAAACAGCAGCUAUUUUAUGACACUCAUCAUUAUCAGCACAAUUUUCAUACAUGAUUGUACUGAUGAUAUAAAUAGUUCAUUAAUAUUAGAAGAUAAGGUUGAAGUAGAAAAUGUAAUAAAGAUUGGGAUGAAGAUGGAGAUGAAGACAAGGCUCGUGAUGGUAAUGAUGAUAAUGGUAAUAAUGGUUUCAGCAACUCAUUGUCAGAUAAAAUAGGCGUAAAAAAAAAGAGCCAAUCAGUCAAUGAGAUGCUUAUAAAACAGCAGAAAAAUGGAUCCACUACGAUAACCCAAAGAAGAAGAAAUCAUGGAGAUA